AACCUGCGGAAGGAUCAUUAUUGAAAGUUUUGGGGGUACUGUUGCUGGUCUUUCACAAGGCAUGUGCACGUAUCUCUAAUCUAUUUCAUCCACCUGUGCAUCUUUUGUAGAAGUUCUUUCGGGUUGGCUUGCAAGGUCCUUUUGGAUGUUGCACGGUUAAUUUGAGAGGCUUCUAUGUCUUUACAAACCAAUCAAGUAUGUUUAGAAUGUGUUGUAUUGGGGCUUUAUUGACCCAUUAAACUAUACAACUUUCAGCAACGGAUCUCUUGGCUCUCCCAUCGAUGAAGAACGCAGCGAAAUGCGAUAAGUAAUGUGAAUUGCAGAAUUCAGUGAAUCAUCGAAUCUUUGAACGCACCUUGCGCCCUCUGGUAUUCCGGAGGGCAUGCCUGUUUGAGUGUCAUUAAAUUCUCAACUUCAAUAGUUUGUAAUGAACAUUUGAAGCUUGGAUGUGGAGGUUUUGCUGGCAUCUUAGCAUGUUCGGCUCCUCUUAAAUGCAUUAGUGGAACCCAUUUGUUGGAUCAUCCUUGGUGUGAUAAUUAUCUACGCUUCGGUUGGUUUAAUGAACUUCUAUGAACUUUCAGCAUUUGCUGGUGUGGGUAUUGUAACUAUUGUUGCUUUAUCUGGUUCAUUAGAGUUGGGACAAUAUCUGCUCUCUAACUGUCUGUGUAUGCGGACAACUUCUUGAUAUUUGACCUCAAAUCAGGUAGGACUACCCGCUGAACUUAAGCAUAUCAAU
rnacentral:rRNA from 1 species